UAUCGAUUUGCAAAAUGCAAGAACGCGGCUACCUCCAGAGCCGCGAGCCCGGCGAGGAGCCCGUAGAAGUAGUCGAGGUGCGCUCGGUUGAGAUUGUCAGAGAACCAGCUGUCGCCUCUCCUUCUCGUCGCCCAGUCGAUGACGGACACAAGGAUGCUGCUGGCGUAGCUUCCCACCCCAAAGAUGCUCAGGCACAACGCGAGCCCGACGCUGCGGAGAGUGUCAGGCACCUGGUCGUAGAAGAACUCCUCGAGCCCAACCUGACCCAGCACACCGGCGAGGCCGAUGAGAACAUACUGCGGAAUCAUCCACCACAAACUCAUCGGCACAGCCUCG
rnacentral:misc_RNA from 1 species